UUUAUGGAGAGUUUGAUCCUGGCUCAGGAUGAACGCUGGCGGCGUGCCUAAUACAUGCAAGUCGAGCGAA
rnacentral:rRNA from 4 species